rnacentral:lncRNA from 1 species
AUGGCUCGGCCACGCGUGUCCUCGGCACAAACGUGGCACAGGCGUGGGAGGGGAGCCCCCGAGGCCCCGGGCGGUGCCGGCAAGGGGAGCAGGGCUCCGGGCUGGCAGGUGCUGGUGUGUCCUCGGGGCACCUGCAGCGAGGUUCUAAUGGCCACAGCAGAGGCCGGGGUGUCCCCAGCCCACGGGUGGCCGUGUGGCGGUCCCCGGGUCACAGCUCCCUGCCGAGGGGCCGUGCCGGGAGCGCUGCAGAUUUCACCAGCCGCUGCCCUUGACCGCAUCUCUCACCCCGAGCCGGCCGCCCUGGACUUUCCCCGCUCUGGCGUCACGGUUGUUCCCUGGCUGUGGCAGAGUGGUGCCAGGCUGUCCAUAGCUCCAGCUGUCCACGGGGCUGGGCUCUCUCCACCUGCGGCAAGGACAGCUAUUCUAUUCUGGCCACGUCCUGUCUGCUGGGACAGGCCCAUCACUUGGGCUCUGCUUGCUUUAACAGCCUCCAGCAUCGCCCAGGUCUCACAGUUUGGUCCAGACCUGCUGCCCGGGGCACGCAGAGCCUGGGGAAGGGCCCGAUCCCAUCAGGACCUGGCAGCACUGGGUAGGUUCUGCCCACCCUGCCAUGUGUGGAAGGUGGCAGAAGGAAGGGUCAGACCCUGCUCUCCCUGGGCAGGAUCCGGGCUGUGUCUGGUCCAGGUGGCCUGUGAAGGUCUGGCAGCAUCCCGUGCCAUGCCCGGUGUCACGGACCCCUCACCAUCGUGUCCCAGGGCCAGCCCUUCCCACAGAGAGGUCACUGGACGCGGCCACCUGGCUCUGCCCCUGGAGGGCGUUUUCUGGGUGGCUCCCAUGCACCCCACGGCAUUGGGAGCCAGUGGCCAGGGCUGGCCCCGUGUCCCCGGCCCCUUAUCAGGGGGAUUGCUCAACAGCAGGCAUGAAAUCGGGGAUGGGCAGGGGCCACGGCACUGCCUCGCUUCUCAGCUGGGGGGGUCUGGGUCUGCCUCAUUCCUGGGCGACCAUGUCUGGGUUCGCCAUGGGCUGGGCACCCCCAGCUUUGUGGGGAGCCACCCGCACCAUCUUGGCUGCCACUGCUGUCCCCCUCCUGCUUUACUGAGCUGUGACACGCGGGACGGCGAAACUGAGGCACGGACGGCAGCGUGCAGGGUCGGGACACGCUGUCCCCGCUUUUCGUGCCUCUCCAACCCACGGGGUCCUGGCGGUCCUUCCUUUUCUGCUGGGGGGCACGGCCCAGCCCCGGCCCCGCUCCCCCCGCCUCCUCCCUCCCUCCUCCCCCGGGGGCGGGGGGGGAUGAGGGGGGACCGGGCGGGCUGGGGCGGGGAGGGGAAGGGAAGGAGGUGGGAUUAUGGAGACGGGACCCAAUGA